CUGCCGCCCGACCCCGACCCCGGCGCGGCAAGCCGGCAGCCGCCUCCCCAUUCCUCGCCGCCGGUCGCGCCCCCUCCGCCGUAAAGGAAGAUCCCGCCUCUCGUCCCGCCCGCCCGUGCGGCCCUCGGGUCCAGCCGACGCCUCCUUGUGUGCAGCCCUCCAGCGAGCGGCUGCGCCCCUGUCGUCGGCCGGCUGCCGGGACUGCUGGCGCCCCUGCCCUCGCGGCCUCGCCCCCCUGCUGCAAAUCUGGCCAAAACCAGAAUACCCUGCCUGAUUUAAGAUUUGUUGUAAAAUGAAGAGGGCCGGAGAUCACUUUAGAAGAGAAUUUUUUUGGAGUCAUUGAUCAAAUUAGUCAAGAGCUUGAAAAUCGGUUUGAUGAGAUCAACAUGGAGUUGUCAUCUUCUAUAUCUGCUUUGAAUCCCGCCAACUCAUUUGCUGCUUUUGAUACACAAAUGCUAGCUCCGCCACUGCGUACAGCGGAGGUGUUCCGGGAUGAUGAGGAGUUCCAACAAAUGGAAGAAGCGGCGGCACUCCCCGACAACCUCCUUCGUGGAAUCCUCGAGCGCCUUGAUCCGCGCAAGGCGGCGACCCUUCCCUCACUGGCUCUUCCUCCUGCACCUUGACGUCAGCCACUUCCCUGGCGCUACACGGGUCGAGAUCAUGGGCACAUUCACGGCCACAACACAUCCAGGCAGGGAUUCUUGGCCAACCCCACAUCCUUCUCCUAGCCGCGUCCAGGCAGGGAAACAGUGAUCCAGCGGCAAUGACAAAGUUGAUUCAAGCCAGCUCCUUGCCUUGGUGAAGCUGUGAUGUGGGAUGGCGCCAUGGCAGUGGUACUCCAGCCCAAUGCCACGAUGCAAGAAGAACCGCUCAAUAUUUCCUCAGCCGUCGUCUCCAUCGACUUCGCCGCAAGGCCAUCUGUGAUCACCUCCGCCGACUUGGGAGGAAGACCAUCAGCUAUCACCAAGACCUAAUUUGCCACAGGUACUUUUGGAGCAUCUGAUGGGUCUUGUCUGUUUGUCAAUUCGUCAGUUUAAUGUAGCCAAUGUAGCUGUUGCCGACAGUAGACUACAUUUGACUGACAAGCAACACAUGCCCUCCUACAUUUGACCGACAGAUCCUGUUUGUACUUGACAGCAGAAGACUAAAUUCGUAAAAGAAGAUGUCUGUGAUGAGUUCACUGGUUAAAAAAAUACAGGAUGCUUCAGUGACCCCAUUGUAUGAAUAUGUUUGUUUAAAAACAAGCUAGCAUGUUCCUAUAUUUUCUGUUAUGUAUGUUAGUUGAAUUUAU